AUGGGGUCAACAAAGAUCAAGUCAAUAGUCUCCACCUUUGUACAAGUCAAGGCAUCUAAUCUCCUCCAAUUUUUCAAGUCAUAUUCAAAAAACACAUCCACAGCCAAAACUCAACCUCCUACAAUUGUCUGAUUUUAAGACAUCCUCCACACUUUGAAUGCAGUGCACCUGAAUAACAGGUAAUAAACAAGAAUCUUCCUCGUAAACAUCAAUUUUCCCAUUCAAUCUAUCUCUAGCUGUUUGGUUUUAGAGAUUCCAAGGACGAUGGGUGGCAAGCUUCAAGCUGAAGCAGAUCUUGAUUAUUCCAUGGAAUCAGAAACGAUGUCCACUACAACUCAAUCAUCUUUGGACAAUCAGGGUGGCAGAAACAAAGACAAAAUACAAGUAGAGAAGAAGAUGAAGAAACUGAGAUCAAUCAAGCUCUCAAGAGUUCCAUCAACAAGAAAGGGAAAUCAAUUUCGAUCCAAGUUAUCAGGAUAUGCAGCAAGCUCGGAACAAUCUACUCCUAUAGACAUGUCUGAUGCGUCACCAAAUCAUAUCCAUGCCACAAAGUCGGAGAAUUUUCAGGUAUUACCGACAGCAGAAUCGGGUUUUAAGCUUCUUAGAAGUGUAACCAGAAAGUCCAGCAUGAAAUUCAGAAGGCCACAGAUGAAGAAAUUUUCUGGAGGAACUGAGUUGAAGAAGAAAGGGAAGAAAUCAUCUAGGAGAGAGGUAAAUUCUCAAGAUUCAUCAACUCAUUACUUGAAUGAAACUAGUUCUGAUAUGAAGAAGGAGCAGUUACAAGCGAGUUCCUGUUAUUCUGGACCUAGUUUCGAUAGCAGUGAUCAGGAUAACAACAUUUCUGCAAAUGCAAAACAGUUAGCUUAUCCUGGUAAUAAGUCCGUUAGAGUUGUAAGAACAUCUAGUUUGGGACCUUUGAAGAAGUUAACUAAAAUGGCAAGUUUAAGAUCUAAGAGGACAAAGAAAUGCUCUUCCAUUUCAGACCCAAACGUAGAGAGAGCUACCUGUUCCUCCACACUCAAAGCUUCCAAAUUUCCAGAUCAUUUAGAGAUUAAACCAGGAGGAAAUGAAUCUGAUGGAACUGCAGUCUUGAAUGUCUGCCGAUACAGUUAUUGCUCUCUUCAUGGUCAUCACCAUGGUGACAAACCUCCAUUGAGGAGGUUUGUCUUGAUGAGGAGGCGGGCCGCCAAGAGCCAGAAAAGCUUGAAACCAGACCACCGUCAAACCUCUGGUAAUAGAAAGAAAGGAGCCCAGACAGAGAAAAGAGUCCCUGAUGGGGAUCUUGGGGUUGCAUUUCAACAAACUGUUGAUAUCAGAGAGAUCCCUUCCAUACCAGCAACGGAGGGAAAGGAGGGCAGUGAUUUUGUAGAUUUGGCCGAGAGUGUGCCUGGUGAAUCAUCAUGUCCAAGUCAUGAAGAGCAUCUGCAGCAAAGUAAUAAUCCGCUUAAAGUAGGACAGCAAAGUCCAGGGACAUUUCAAGCAUUCAAACACAUUGAUGUUGAUUGCAGUGGAAUUGGAGAACAACAAAAGGCAAAAUGUGAUACCCCUGGCACCAAUAUUGAAGAGACUAAAAGAAUCAACAAUGGAGACCGUAAGUCCAUUCACGCUCCGGGCCGUCCCGAAGGUGGAGAUGUUACUUCACAGGAGUUUGGAGACCCAUCACAGUUUGCCAAUCUGUCCUUGAAGCCAGAUGACACCUACAAUACCUGUGUUCCAAUGGGCAAAGAAUCUCACAAAGAUAUUAAUGAUGCUCCUGUUACUGGGAUGAUGGAAGAACCAGCUUCAACCAUUGAAGAUAAGAAAGAAGAUUCGGACCUUGAUAGUGGAAUCCUGCAACCUAGAGAUCCUAUGGCUUCUACUAGUAGUACUGACGUGGCACGCAAAACAGAGAUGGAAAAUCAGAAGAAUUUCACAUUUUGGAAAUUAAUAUACCGGCAUAUGGUCACAGGUCUUGAUGCUGAACCUGAAAUUCAAACUCCUCGUCCUGGAACGAAUGCAGAAGAGCAAGUAGAUGAUCUGCAUCAUACACAUGGAAAGAAUGACUCUUGUCAGGAAAUUUCACAGGCAGAUAAGGCCACGAGCAUCAAUGAUCAUGAUGCAAGCAACCGGAAGCUUGAGUUCAGCCAAAGUGAUGCCAUUAAGCUGGUACAGCAAGCAUUUGACAAGAUCCUCUCUGAAAUUCCAGACCAUUCAUCAGAUGAUCAAACAAUUGUUAGUGAGAAAACUUCAGACCAGGAGCUCUUGUAUCAGAAGCAAGAUGAAGGCAAAGAGAACAUCUCAACUUCCUCUAAUUCCAUUGAAGAGUGUAUGGUACAGAAUCAAGAAGAAAUGAAGAUUAAAAGUGAUAAAGAAAUUGCAUCUGAAGAAGUGAAAGCAGCCCCAAAGGAAGGAAAAAUGUCUGACAAGCAAAUGCCAAGCAGCUGGAGCAAUCUGAAAAAGAUCAUAAUCCUCAGGAGAUUUGUCAAGUCAUUAGAGAAGGUGAGGAACUUAAAGCCAAAAACAAUACCUUAUCUUCCUACAGCCAAAGACCCAGAAGCACAAAAAAUUCAACUGAGGCAUCAAACUGAGAAAGAGAGAAAAAACGCCGAGGAAUGGAUGCUUGACCAUGCACUUCGUCAAGUGAUUUCAACACUGGCUCCAUCUCAGAAAAGAAAAGUUGCUAUGUUGGUACAAGCUUUUGAAACCGUCAUCCCAGCAGAAAAUGGAGAUGAUGUAAGGUCCAAUGCAGCAGCUUCUUCUCCUACAACUUCUGUUCAAGCCUAUAAUGAGUUCUCAGUUGACAAUGGUGCUGGCACGCCAAAUGAAAAUGGUUCAGAAAUCUCCCCGGGAAAACUAUUGCAGUCUGAAAUGGAUUCCACAGAUGAUCGUGGCCAAGUCACUGUAUCCAAUAUAGCAUACCAGAAAUUGACAAAAUCAUCUCCGGAUUCUAAAGAAACAAGUCUUAUUUGUAGCAGCAAAGAACAACCGUUGUGUGUAGCAGGCUCAGAAAUGAGCGGUACAGACAUGAACAAAGAAGAUACUAAUGCAGUUGGUGAAAAUAAUGGGAAUGAAGUUUCGAUUGUCGACCUCUCUUUGUCAGAACUUGAAAAACCCAGACCAGCUGAUAAGUCCUUAACUGAUGAGGAUGCAAUAAGGACUUCUAAUGACAAAAUUUUCCCAGUAAAUGAAGAAGUUAUCCCAAAGGAAAAAAUUUCAGCUCCUAGCUCAGAAGUCUGCAAUUCGGGUUCUGAAUUUGAUAUAAAGGAGAUGGAUUUGGAAUCUAGUGACUCAAGUAAUUCACCUGAUCAGCAACCUGGUACACCUGAAUGGCCAACAGAAAUUGGAGAAGGAGCUCAGCCAAAAUAUAAAUUCCUCCAUUCACCACUUGAAAAACCCGAGUCAAAUUUCGCAGCUGAUAUUUCUAAGUCGGAAAGACAAAAAUACACGAGGCUUUGGUACUUAAUAUAUAAGCACAUGGUGUCAGGUGGUGCCACGGAAAAUGGAUCACAACGGCUUCAGAGUUUAUCAGAUGAGGAAGUACAAGGUGAUGAUGCCAGCAAACAUUCUAGAGAGAACGACACUGAUGGUCACAGUUCAUUUGCAGCAGGUCAGGACAUGAUUGAGAAUUACUCACCAGGCUGCAACAAUGAGAUUAUAAAGCUGGUAGAAGAAGCCAUUGAUGAGAUACCUCUCCCAGAAAUUCAACAAGACACAUCAGAUAAUCAAUCAGUUAUUGGUGAUGUAGUUCCAGAUCUAGAACUUCCUGAGAAGAAACAUGGACAAGAAGAGGUAAAAAUCAUCUCCAGUUCUACUGGUCCUGCUAAAGAGACUUCUGAAGAAGCUAAAACCAUAAGAACAGAACUUUGUUCAACCUUGAAUUCUAAAGAGAAAACAUGGAGUUCUAAAAAUGUCAACACCAAAAUGGAAGCAAAAGGAGGGACAGAUGCGGGAAUUCAAUCGAAGAAGAGAGUGCAGAGAAAUUGGAGCAAUCUGAAAAAAUUAAUCCUCCUCAGGAGAUUUGUCAAGGCAUUGGAAAAAGUCAGAGAAUUUAACCCAAGGGGACCUAGAUACCUGCCCGUAGAUCCUGCAGCAGAAUCAGAGAAAGUUCUCCUAAGGCAUCAGAAUAUGGGAGACAGAAAAAAUGCUGAAGAAUGGAUGUUAGAUUAUGCACUUCAACAAGUGGUUGCUAAACUAACUCCAGAAAGGAAGAGGCGAGUAGGGCUGCUUGUCGAAGCAUUUGAGACUGUCAUUCCGGCUAUAAGUUGAAAUCAUCAAAAGUGCUGAUAUACCUCCUCCAGCAACAACCAGUCAAAUUGGUGUCAGUUUACAAGGUAAGACCAAAAGAAGUGGCCAUUUCAUACGGCCAAUCUGAAUGAAACAGAAACAUCAAUUCGUUCGGGUGAAACAUCACAGUAGGAAAAGAACAGAAAUUAGGAGGUAGCAGUUAAGAGUCUGAGAAGUUGCAAGUUCCAUAUUUUUUCUGAAACCUCAAAGCAUAUUUUGAGCAUGCUUAUGAUGGGGAAAAAAUAAGAAUACCAUAAGUGUACUUGUAUAAGUAUGGUGUUGUUAGUCCUUUCUGAAAACUAGAGCAAUUGUUCUGAUAAAUGGUUAUGGAUGUCAGAGAUAA